AGAAGACUGGUGUAAUUAGGUAACACGCUCGAGUUGAUCGAGAAUUCUGGGUUCGAUUCCCAAGGUCUUUUA
rnacentral:tRNA from 1 species